UACGGGGGGAGCAAGCGUUGUUCGGAUUUACUGGGCGUAAAGGGCGCGUAGGCGGCCACCGCAAGUCAGUUGUGAAAUCUCUGGGCUUAACCCAGAAAGGUCAACUGAUACUGCGGGGCUAGAGUGCAGAAGGGGCAACUGGAAUUCUCGGUGUAGCGGUGAAAUGCGUAGAUAUCGAGAGGAACACCUGCGGCGAAGGCGGGUUGCUGGGCUGACACUGACGCUGAGGCGCGAAAGCGUGGGGAGCGAUCCGG
rnacentral:rRNA from 1 species